GCAACCGUGGCGCAGUCGGUAGCGCGUUGGUCUCAUAAUCCAGAAGUCGGGAGUUCGAGCCUCCCCGGUUGCA